rnacentral:rRNA from 1 species
CCCACGGGUGGCAGCAGUGGGGAAUAUUGGACAAUGGGGGCAACCCUGAUCCAGCCAUGCCGCGUGUGUGAAGAAGGCCCUCGGGUUGUAAAGCACUUUCAGUGAGGAAGAACGCCUGGUGGUUAAUACCCAUCAGGAAAGACAUCACUCACAGAAGAAGCACCGGCUAACUCCGUGCCAGCAGCCGCGGUAAUACGGAGGGUGCGAGCGUUAAUCGGAAUUACUGGGCGUAAAGCGCGCGUAGGUGGCUUGAUAAGCCGGUUGUGAAAGCCCCGGGCUCAACCUGGGAACGGCAUCCGGAACUGUCAAGCUAGAGUGCAGGAGAGGAAGGUAGAAUUCCCGGUGUAGCGGUGAAAUGCGUAGAGAUCGGGAGGAAUACCAGUGGCGAAGGCGGCCUUCUGGACUGACACUGACACUGAGGUGCGAAAGCGUGGGUAGCAAACAGGAUUAGAUACCCUUGUAGUC